UGCAGCUGCUAUUACUUGCCAGACUGACAGACAUAUUAGCUUUUAUCCCCCCUAAUGCUCGGGCUACAGAAAGUUUCCCUUCAUUUUAUUCCAUUUUGAUUUGAGGGGAGAGAUCAAGGUAAAGGUGCAGAAAGUACAGAAACACAAAGAAGCUACGGUGCACUUGAAUGUUGGUCUUCAUAUAUUUAAGAUGUGAUGAUUCCUGACAGCAACAGUGUCUUCAGAAUCAGGCACUGAAGGAAGGCGACCUCUAACAGACGAAUGGCAGUGCUCAAAUUCAGAUUUAAGAACCGGAUUAUGAUGAAGUGAUAGCACUCCUAUAUGACUGUCAACAUUUACUCUUUAUUCCAG